AUGCAUUUUCCACCCUAUAGUUAUAGGAACUUUUUUUAAAAUUUUUAGGAGUACUAUCACCCCCCGAAUUUUUUUACACCAUUUCAAUGACACCCUGUAUAAUGAGUGAUGACGAUCCAAAAUAUUACAAUGCAUGGAUAAUGGCUAUGGAUGCAGAACAUAAACGAAGAAGAUUACUUUGUUCCUGGCAUAUAGUGAAAAAUUGGAACAUACAAGGAAGGUCUAAAAUCAAGAAGUUGGAAAAUAGACAGAUAAUGAAACAUGAAAUGAGGAAAAUUUUAAAGGAGACUGAUCCACAAAAAUUUAUACAGCUGAAAGAGAACUAUUUUAGGCAAUUAGAAGAAGAAAAGGAAACUAAUUUUCAGAAUUACCUGAAAAAGUACUAUUUCCAAAGUCAAGAGAGAAUAAUGAUGUGGGCACAUUGUUAUAGAAUCAAUGCCGGAAUUAAUACAAAUAUGGCAAUUGAAAGCUUAAAUAAAGUUCUGAAGUACAACAAAAUGAAUGGAAAGCAGAAUAUUAGGAUUGAAAAACUGUUGGAUUUACUGGAUAAACUUGUUGAUGAAAGAAUGUGGAAAAGGAUUAUAAACAUGAAAAGGCCAAAUGCAAAUAAUUAUCAGCACAAAAUAUGUCAGAGUGCACAUAAAAAAGCAGAAGAAAUGGUGGGUAAUAACGGUAAUGUAUCAUAUUCUGAAUUAGGACAUUUUAAGGUAAGGUCGUUUAGUGAUAAUCAUAAAUUGUAUUGUGUAAAUUAUAAUGAGGUUUGUGAUGAGGACUGUAGGGCAAUGUAUUGUUGGGAAUUGUGAUUGUCCAGAAUAUACUGUUAAAAGUGUCAUGUGUAAGCAUAUACAUGCUGUAGCUUUAUUUGAGCAGAGGAGCGAAUAUGUUUCAGGUUUCAUGGAUGAAAUGCAAGAAGAUAAUAAUCUGUAUGUCAAUAAACCUUCAACAAGCAAGACAGUUUAUGAGGAUGAAGUAAAUCAUUUUCUUGACGAGACUGAAAAUAGAAUGAAUGUGACAAUUGAUUUUGAAAGAAAGCGUGAGAUUUGUCUAGAACAGUUUUGCUCUGAAAUUCGUAAUUAUGGUGGUGGAUUGGGUGAACAUGAUUUAGAAAAAUUUAUGGGUGAUUUUCGAAAUUUUAUGCAGACAGUAAAACAAAAAGAAAUGGUGAUGAGUAAAAAAAGAAAAAUAGAAAAGCAGCAGUAUUAUCUCAACAAAAAACCUAAAUAAAUUUAUUUAUAAUAAAAUGUUUAUAACUAUUUCAUUACUGAAUGACAUUGCUUUUGUGAGUGACCUAUUCUGGUAUUAUAUCUAAGUAGUGUUGGCUAUUUGUAUUCAUGUAAUUCGUUGGCUUACGGUGAAGGAUACUUAUAAAAUAUAUUUUUUUAAUUUUAA